AAAAUUCCUCUUGCAACAAGUGUCUUUUUAGUUAAAAUCAAUAAAUGUUCUUUUUAUAAAAUCGAAGUGAUUAGUGGUUUGGGUAGUUGUGUGUGUGAGUGUGUGCACGAUUUUAUAUGAGUUAAAAAUAAAUGUGGAGUGGAGGGAAUGGACCAGUUACUAAGAUUAUAAUAUAGUCCUUUUACAGAGAUGCAGGAACCCUAUAACAGCACUGUGCAAUAGAACUUUCUGUGACAAUACAAAUAUUUUAUACCUGUGCCAUCCAACAUGGUAGCUACUCACGCAUGGAGUAAUUGGCAUCUGGCUAGUGCAACAGAGAAACUGAAUUUUUAAUUUUAUUUAAUAUUAAGUAAUAUAAAUUUAACUUUAAAUAGCUGUAUGUGGGCCAGGGGCAGUGGCUCAUGCCUAUAAUCCCAGCAAUUUGGGAGGCCAAGGCAGGAGGAUAACUGAAGGCCGGGAAUUCAAGAAUAGCCUAGGCAACAUAGCAAGUCCCCAUUUCUACAAAACAAAAAGCUUUAGCUGGGCAUGGUGGCAUGUACAUGUAAUCCCAGCUACUCAGAAGACUGAGGUAAGAGGGUAUCACUUGAGCCCAGGAGUUCAAGGCUGCAGUGAGCUGUGAUCAUGCCACUGCACUCCAACCUGGACAACAGAACAAGACCUUCUCUUUAAAUAAGUAAAUAGCCAUACGUGGCUGGUCUCUGGCAUAUUGGACAAUACCACCCUAUUUUAAUCCCAGCCUGGAACUGAGACCCUCAGGGAGUUCUUAUGCUACAGAUGGGCCUUGUCUCCUCUUUGGACAAGUUAUUGUCAACCUAUUCCCAAGGUCCAGGAGGUUGGGGCAACCGUCUCAUUGUUUUUUAUCAUUUCCUUCAUUUUUCAGUGAGUGAGCAUCAGUUAUGCACCUAGCCUUGUGCUAGACAUUGAGAAAUCAAAUACAGUGAUGAUGGCCCCAGAAGAUCGCAGUGGGGAAGACAGACUAGAAAAGAGGUUUCUCUUCUUAGAUCUUCAUCUCAGAGGCGGCACCACCACCCGCUCUCAGCCAAGCCAGGGAUCCAGAAGCCCUUCCAGGUCAGCCCAAUGCCUCACUUCCCACCCACUUCCCCUGUUGUUGGCUUCUUUUUACUUGCUGGUUCUAUAUCUUCUCAGCCUGCAAAAGCAGGUCAGCCUCUCAAGUGAUCUUUCUACAUCUUUCCUUUUUUGUUUUUCCGUAUCCCUAAAAUAUUUACCACCCCAUGGGCACAGGGAGCUUCAUAAAUUAGUGCAAGUCUAAUUCUAUCAUUUCUAUUUAAAAUUCCUGAGUGGCUCCCUGUGGUUCCCAAGAUAAAAUUUCCA
rnacentral:lncRNA from 1 species